UACGGGGGGGGCAAGCGUUGUUCGGAAUUACUGGGCGUAAAGGGCUCGUAGGCGGCCAACUAAGUCAGACGUGAAAUCCCUCGGCUUAACCGGGGAACUGCGUCUGAUACUGGAUGGCUUGAGUUUGGGAGAGGGAUGCGGAAUUCCAGGUGUAGCGGUGAAAUGCGCAGAUAUCAGGAGGAACACCAAUGGCGAAGGCAGCUCGCUGGAACGGUACUGACGCUGAGGCGCGAAAGCGUGGGGAGCAAACAGG
rnacentral:rRNA from 1 species